UACUUGAUGGCACAUGGUGUCCACCUGCCUUACUUCUCUACGGUUAUGCAGGAGGCCCUGGUUCAAGUCCGGGUCAGGUGA